UUAUGUAGCCUACAACGUUAAUGCACCAGAUCCCAUCAUAACUCCACAAUCAAGCAUGCUUGGGCUAGAGUAGUAUUGGGAUGGGUUAAAUCCCGGGAAGUCCUACUAUUUUACAUGCC
rfam:Picea glauca, whole genome shotgun sequence.